rnacentral:lncRNA from 1 species
GUGGCAGGGGAGCUGGGGGCUCCCCGGCGGAAGUAGCGCGAGAGGCUGGACAGCAGCGUGCUCUACAAGAAAAAAAGUGGCUUGGAGAGUCAAGAAAUGAAGGUGGAGCUUGGGAAGCUAGCGUGAGGUAUUCCAGGACCUCAUGGCAUAGGACGCUUACCUGUCCAAUAGAACGGAAUGUUUCAUUCAAUCCAGUGACUUGAGCAAGCGCCUCUCUCCUGAAUCUACUGUUUCUCAAGAAUAAUGAGUUUUGAUGCAGCUAGUUAGCAAAAGGCAGGAACACAAAAGCAACUGAACCUUCCAGGUGCUUAAUAUUUAAAGAUCCUUAAUACUUGCAGCAGCAUUAGAAAGAGAAUUAGUGUAAAACUCCCAGGUAUUGAACCAGGACUAAGCACUCUUAUUCCCAGUGAACUGUCACAACAAACCUCUGGGAUAAGAGCUAUUAUUACUCCCAUUUUAUAGACCAGAACAAUGAAACUACUCCCAGAGGC